rnacentral:rRNA from 1 species
UACGGAGGAUCCAAGCGUUAUCCGGAUUUAUUGGGUUUAAAGGGUGCGUAGGUGGUUCUUUAAGUCAGGGGUGAAAGACGGUAGCUUAACUAUCGCAGUGCCUUUGAUACUGAAGAACUUGAAUACACUAGAGGUAGGCGGAAUGUGACAAGUAGCGGUGAAAUGCAUAGAUAUGUCACAGAACACCAAUUGCGAAGGCAGCUUACUAUGGUGUCAUUGACACUGAGGCACGAAAGCGUGGGGAGUCAAACAGGA